CCAAAAAAAAUUCUCUUUCAGUUAUUAUUGAAAUACCCAAACACCAAAUAACUCAUAUUUAUUAGUUAUAUAAAAAAAAAAUAUAUAUAUAUAUAUAAUUAUAAAUUUUAAAUAAUAAGAUAUUUGAGAAACUUAAUUAUAUGGAUUUACUCCCAAUCCCAAUCCCACUGCUGCUGAUGCUUUUAUAUUAUGUCUGUAAUCAAUUUAUAUUUCAUCUAUGACCAAUUGAUAUAUCAACGUUUCGUUUCAUAGUGCAUCCUGGAUAUAUUUGAAUAUUAUAGAACACUUAGCACCCCUUCAUCAUUUUAAUGACGUGAAUAAAUAAUUGUUCCCACAUUAUCUGAUAUAUUAUAUAUAUAGACUAUCAAAAUUUCCCUUAAGUUACCACGAUUGUCAAUACUUUAAAGUUGUCGUCGAACCAGAAGCGUGUAAAAGCUUACAAUAUAGACCUUUAAGUUUUCAUGAAAAUAUGAUUCGCUCUUGAAUGAAAAAGGUAAUAAAGUAGAAGGGGCUUUACAAGAUGUGUGGGACAACUUUUCUUGAACUCCAACUACUUGGGAUCGUGGGAGUUGGAGGGGAAUCUCAUCGGGAGUUGUAUAAGACGUGUACGAAGUAAGAACCACAUCCACAUUCACUUGUUGUCGCUGUUAUAAGAUCCAAGAUUCUUUGACCGGCGCGUGAGAAAAGCAUACCCCUCUAGGCUACAUAUUCGUAUCCAAAAAGAAGAAGAUAUAUAUAGAGUUAUAGAGAACCUCUAUGAUUACUUGAGAAAAUGGUCCCUUUUUGCUUUUUUAAAGAGUGACGAAGCUCAUGCAAAUACUAUUAUAAUUCACCAAAGUGGAAUAAUAUCACAUUCGGUUUCAGUUUAAUUUUUAUUCGUGCUUAAUAGAACAAAAUUUUACGUUUAUGUGUAUGUUCUGGAUACGAGUCGGUUAAAUCAUCCAAAUUAGUUUUUAGCUUGUGUGAAUUUGUUUUUUUUCUUUUUUUGAUGUAUGUGACACUUUCCAAACAUAACAAUGAUUCACCUAAAACAGCUUAAGUUAAGCGUUUUUAUCACUUUCUGAUAAAAAUUUCAGUUCAGUAAAAAUGAAGAUGCAAUAUAUAGUACGCAAUGUUCUGCACUUGUGCGCAUUCUAGAUAUAGGUGGCUAGUUGAUAGCGAACAAUGUGAGAUGGAAGAGAGCUGAGCAUAAGACAUAAACACAAAAUAAAACUCAGAAGUUCACUUAGACCGCUUAAACAGUGAGAGCCCUACGUUAGUUCAAUUAGAAUUGAUUAAUUGUUUACUUUAUUAUGGCUUGAACAAUAAGAGCCGUAAUCUUUAAUUAGUACUAUAAGAGAGACGUAAUUCACAUCACACAUGCGAAAUGUGGUACGGCAUAUCUCAACGAGAUCACAAAUAAAAAUUCGAACAUUAUAAGGACAUGCAUGUUGAGUGAAAAUGACUGAACCAAACGGGAUAAACAAUCUAAGAACGUAAAAUAUCCACAACACAAAAAAUACUAUACUACCAGAGCUGAUCCUGAAGAAAACCAAUAGAAGUUUAGCUAGGUUUUCAGCCUUAAUUCAUUUUUAAGUAGUCUAGUGGUUAAUGUAGUUGCUUUAUGUAAGCAAGGUGAUCUCCAUUUCAUAAACAGAUGUUUUUCUUUUCAAUACUAAUAUGGUCUUUAAUAAAUGGGUUUUAAUUUCUUAGUUGCUUUCUAUCCUUGACAUUUUCAGGACCGGUAAUACAUCUUCACUAGAAUAAUAAUAUAUGUUUCAAAAUCCUGAUCACACGAGAUAGUUACCUAAAUGCUAUAAAAAGUACUCUGACGCUAGACAAACGAGAGAUUCUGCGUUAGGAGAGCAAAACAAACAUUGGGUUAAUUUGCGCUUUUGAAUUAAGCCCACACAUGAUUACGUCUUUGUUCCAAACUUCCAAUUAUGCUUUUGAAUUAAGCCCACACAUAUCACUUAAGUUGUAGUAAGUAGUAACAUAGUUGACCAAUGAACCCAAAUGCUUUUGAAAAUCCCUAAACCCACAUACUUGGAAUGCUUCAUGGCUCUCUAAAAGCAUAAUAUCACUGGGCUUGAGAAAAAAAACCAUUUACCCUCAUCUUUGUUUGCGUCUCCACUUAACGAAUUCAGACGACUUCUAAUGUUACUUUUUGACCAUUUGGUGGAGAGAAUGGAGAUGAGAGGAAAAGUAGUUGCAGCUCUCUCUCUCUCUCUCUGUCUCUCUCUCGUGCUCAACCAUUAGCCCUUGGAGAAGCUUUGUUGCUAUCUAUCCUCCGUUUGUUUUCGUUUCCUUUUCAAUAAAGUUAUCUCCAUUCUACCAACAAACUUUGCUAUAUAAUAAGAACCCCUCCUGUCUUCAUGCAUUCACACAAGAUUACUGAAUUAGAGGUUUCUUCCACAUCUUGACCAGACUCUUGAAGACUUGUCAUGGGACCUGGAGGACCCGGUGGACCAGGAGGGCCCGGACCUGGAUGGGGACCAGGACCAGGAGGACCCGGACCUGGAUGGGGACCAGGAUUUGGAGGAUCAGGGAUCUUUCCACCAAUUGGUGGGUUCUUUGCUGGAUUUUCAGACAUGAUAUGUUCCUGUCUAUCUUGUCUCUGCUGCUGCUGGCUUCUACGAGAUUGCUUUGGAGGGCCGCCACCACCACCACCAGCACCUCCAUUUCUUCCUUCUUAUUAUUGAUCGCUCGCCGGAGUCUUAUCACAAGAAAGAGCGUAGCUUCUCCUGUAGAUGAUAAUUGUUAUCCAUGUUAAUAUUAAGAACUUCAGAGGGAAAAAUCUUAUAUAUAUUUGGUCUCAGAAAUAUUAAACAUUGUCUGGAUUACAUUUUCAAAAAAAUACCAAAAAACAUUGAGAAUAAAAAUAUCAGAGGGAUGAAAU